UGCGGGUUAGAACUCAGGGAGUUCAUCGGUCUCAUAAGCCGAACGAAGAGCAGUUCGAGUCUGCUACCCGCAACCA
rnacentral:tRNA from 1 species